AGAUUGAACGCUGGCGGCAUGCCUUACACAUGCAAGUCGAACGGCAGCACGGGAGCAAUCCUGGUGGCGAGUGGCGAACGGGUGAGUAAUACAUCGGAACGUGCCCAAUCGUGGGGGAUAACGCAGCGAAAGCUGUGCUAAUACCGCAUAAGAUCUACGGAUGAAAGCAGGGGAUCGCAAGACCUUGCGCGAAUGGAGCGGCCGAUGGCAGAUUAGGUAGUUGGUGAGGUAAAGGCUCACCAAGCCUUCGAUCUGUAGCUGGUCUGAGAGGACGACAGCCACACUGGGACUGAGACACGGCCAGACUCUACGGGAGCAGCAGUGGGGAAUUUGGACAAGUGGGACGAAAGCCGUGAUCCAGUCCAUGCCGCGUGCAGGAUAGAAGGCCGUUCGGUUAGUAACGUGU
rnacentral:rRNA from 1 species